rnacentral:tRNA from 1 species
CGGGGCGUAGCGCAGUGGCAGUCGCGCCGCAUCCGCAAUGCGGACCACACGGGUUCGAAUCCCGUCCCCCGG